CACUAUCGUUAACUGAAUACAUAGGUUAACGAGGCGAACCGGGGGAACUGAAACAUCUAAGUACCCCGAGGAAAAGAAAUCAACCGAGAUUCCCCCAGUAGCGGCGAGCGAACGGGGAGCAGCCCAGAGUCUGAAUCAGCUUGUGUGUUAGUGGAACGGUCUGGAAAGUCCGACGGUACAGGGUGAUAGUCCCGUACACCAAAAUGCACAGGUUGUGAACUCGAAGAGUAGGGCGGGACACGUGGUAUCCUGUCUGAAUAUGGGGGGACCAUCCUCCAAGGCUAAAUACUCCUGACUGACCGAUAGUGAACCAGUACCGUGAGGGAAAGGCGAAAAGAACCCCGGCGAGGGGAGUGAAAAAGAACCUGAAACCGUGUACGUACAAGCAGUGGGAGCACCUUCGGGUGUGACUGCGUACCUUUUGUAUAAUGGGUCAGCGACUUAUAUUCUGUAGCAAGGUUAACCGUAUAGGGGAGCCGCAGGGAAACCGAGUCUUAACUGGGCGUUAAGUUGCAGGGUAUAGACCCGAAACCCGGUGAUCUAGCCAUGGGCAGGUUGAAGGUUGGGUAACACUAACUGGAGGACCGAACCGACUAAUGUUGAAAAAUUAGCGGAUGACUUGUGGCUGGGGGUGAAAGGCCAAUCAAACCGGGAGAUAGCUGGUUCUCCCCGAAAGCUAUUUAGGUAGCGCCUCGUGAAUUCAUCUUCGGGGGUAGAGCACUGUUUCGGCUAGGGGGUCAUCCCGACUUACCAACCCGAUGCAAACUACGAAUACCGAAGAAUGUUAUCACGGGAGACACACGGCGGGUGCUAACGUCCGUCGUGAAGAGGGAAACAACCCAGACCGCCAGCUAAGGUCCCAAAGUCAUGGUUAAGUGGGAAACGAUGUGGGAAGGCACAGACAGCCAGGAUGUUGGCUUAGAAGCAGCCAUCAUUUAAAGAAAGCGUAAUAGCUCACUGGUCGAGUCGGCCUGCGCGGAAGAUGUAACGGGGCUAAACCAUGCACCGAAGCUGCGGCAGCGACACUAUGUGUUGUUGGGUAGGGGAGCGUUCUGUAAGCCUGCGAAGGUGUGCUGUGAGGCAUGCUGGAGGUAUCAGAAGUGCGAAUGCUGACAUAAGUAACGAUAAAGCGGGUGAAAAGCCCGCUCGCCGGAAGACCAAGGGUUCCUGUCCAACGUUAAUCGGGGCAGGGUGAGUCGACCCCUAAGGCGAGGCCGAAAGGCGUAGUCGAUGGGAAACAGGUUAAUAUUCCUGUACUUGGUGUUACUGCGAAGGGGGGACGGAGAAGGCUAUGUUAGCCGGGCGACGGUUGUCCCGGUUUAAGCAUGUAGGCUGGUU
rnacentral:rRNA from 1 species